rnacentral:piRNA from 1 species
UCAAAACUCCCGUGCUGAUCAGU